rnacentral:rRNA from 1 species
AUUGAACGCUGGCGGCAGGCCUAACACAUGCAAGUCGAGCGGAUCGGCGGACGGGUGAGUAAUGCUUAGGAAUCUGCCUGUUACUGGGGGAUAACGUCCGGUAAUGGACGCUAUUACCGCUUACUAUUACCUUAGCCUAGGUCCGAUUAGCUAGAUGGUGGGGUAAAGGCCAACCAAGGCGACGAUCCGUAGCUGGUCUGAGAGGAUGAUCAGUCACACUGGAACUGAGACACGGUCCAGACUCCUACGGGAGGCAGCAGUGGGGAAUAUUGGACAAUGGGCGAAAGCCUGAUCCAGCCAUGCCGCGUGUAUGAAGAAGGUCUUCGGAUUGUAAAGCACUUUAAGUUGGGAGGCGUUACCAGCAGAAGAAGCACCGGCUAACUUCGUGCCAGCAGCCGCGGUAAUAC